ACGCUGGCGGCAGGCCUAACACAUGCAAGUCGAGCGGUAGAGAGAAGCUUGCUUCUCUUGAGAGCGGCGGACGGGUGAGUAAUGCCUAGGAAUCUGCCUGGUAGUGGGGGAUAACGCUCGGAAACGGACGCUAAUACCGCAUACGUCCUACGGGAGAAAGCAGGGGACCUUCGGGCCUUGCGCUAUCAGACGAGCCUAGGUCGGAUUAGCUAGUUGGUGAGGUAAUGGCUCACCAAGGCGACGAUCCGUAACUGGUCUGAGAGGAUGAUCAGUCACACUGGAACUGAGACACGGUCCAGACUCCUACGGGAGGCAGCAGUGGGGAAUAUUGGACAAUGGGCGAAAGCCUGAUCCAGCCAUGCCGCGUGUGUGAAGAAGGUCUUCGGAUUGUAAAGCACUUUAAGUUGGGAGGAAGGGCAUUAACCUAAUACGUUAGUGUUUUGACGUUACCGACAGAAUAAGCACCGGCUAACUCUGUGCCAGCAGCCGCGGUAAUACAGAGGGUGCAAGCGUUAAUCGGAAUUACUGGGCGUAAAGCGCGCGUAGGUGGUUUGUUAAGUUGGAUGUGAAAUCCCCGGGCUCAACCUGGGAACUGCAUUCAAAACUGACAAGCUAGAGUAUGGUAGAGGGUGGUGGAAUUUCCUGUGUAGCGGUGAAAUGCGUAGAUAUAGGAAGGAACACCAGUGGCGAAGGCGACCACCUGGACUGAUACUGACACUGAGGUGCGAAAGCGUGGGGAGCAAAC
rnacentral:rRNA from 1 species